UCAGUAACACGUAGUCAACAUGCCCAGGGGACGUGGAUAACCUCGGGAAACUGAGGAUAAACCGCGAUAGGUCACUACUUCUGGAAUGGGUAAUGACCCAAAAACCUAUAUGNGCCCCUGGAUUGGGACUGCGGCCGAUCAGGCUGUUGGUGAGGUAAUGGCCCACCAAACCUGUAACCGGUACGGGCUCUGAGAGGAGGAGCCCGGAGAUGGGCACUGAGACAAGGGCCCAGGCCCUAUGGGGCGCAGCAGGCGCGAAACCUCUGCAAUAGGCGAAAGCUUGACAGGGUUACUCUGAGUGAUUUCCGUUAAGGAGAUCUUUUGGCACCUCUAAAAAUGGUGCAGAAUAAGGGAGUGGGCAAG
rnacentral:rRNA from 1 species